rnacentral:rRNA from 1 species
GGACAAGCCCUGGAAACGGGGUCUAAUACCGGAUAUCACUUCCAUUCGCAUGGGUGGAGGUUGAAAGCUCCGGCGGUGAAGGAUGAGCCCGCGGCCUAUCAGCUUGUUGGUGAGGUAAUGGCUUACCAAGGCGACGACGGGUAGCCGGCCUGAGAGGGCGACCGGCCACACUGGGACUGAGACACGGCCCAGACUCCUACGGGAGGCAGCAGUGGGGAAUAUUGCACAAUGGGCGAAAGCCUGAUGCAGCGACGCCGCGUGAGGGAUGACGGCCUUCGGGUUGUAAACCUCUUUCAGCAGGGAAGAAGCGAAAGUGACGGUACCUGCAGAAGAAGCGCCGGCUAACUACGUGCCAGCAGCCGCGGUAAUACGUAGGGCGCGAGCGUUGUCCGGAAUUAUUGGGCGUAAAGAGCUCGUAGGCGGCUUGUCACGUCGGGUGUGAAAGACCGGGGCUUAACUCCGGUUCUGCAUUCGAUACGGGCUAGCUAGAGUGUGGUAGGGGAGAUCGGAAUUCCUGGUGUAGCGGUGAAAUGCGCAGAUAUCAGGAGGAACACCGGUGGCGAAGGCGGAUCUCUGGGCCAUUACUGACGCUGAGGAGCGAAAGCGUGGGGAGCGAACAGGAUUAGAUACCCUGGUAGUCCACGCCGUAAACGGUGGGAACUAGGUGUUGGCGACAUUCCACGUCGUCGGUGCCGCAGCUAACGCAUUAAGUUCCCCGCCUGGGGAGUACGGCCGCAAGGCUAAAACUCAAAGGAAUUGACGGGGG